rnacentral:tRNA from 1 species
AUGCGAUAGCUCAGCUAGUAGAGAGUCUGUUUCGCAGGUGGGGUGUCACCGGUUCGAUUCCGGCUCGCUG